AUAUUUUGUUUACCUCCGUUUUUUAAAUCAUUGAACUGGAAUAGACACCAGUAUAACAAGUUUUAUCAAAAUUGUUAAAUAUGCUGUGUCAGUUAUUAGACAUUAAUGCAGGUGUAUGCAUUUGACAGUCAUUAUAUACAGCUAAUAUCCUCGGGAAAAUGUUUUAUUAAGUGUACAAAUGGAAAUAGGCACACGUGAGGAGAUAUGUUACAAAUUAUUCCUUUCAUUUAUUAUAUGUCAGGUAAUUAGGGUUUUUUUCUUUUAAAUUAUUUAGUUAUUUAUUUAUUACCUACCUUUUCUAAAAUAUAUGUGUAACCGUUACAUUUAUUGACUUCAUGUAUGUAUAUGAUAUUUCAAACACACAUGUAUACGUAUUAAAUAAUACACAUGUAUACGAUAUAAGAAAAUGAAUAAAAUUGAGAAUGGAAAUGGGGAAUGUGCCAAAGAGACAACAACCCGACCAUAGAAAAAAACAACAGCAGAAGGUCACCAACAGGUCUUCAAUGUAGCGAGAAAUUCCCGCAUCCGGAGGCGUCCUUCAGCUGGCCCCUAAACAAAUAUAUACUAGUUCAGUGAUAAUGAACGCCAUAUUAAUUUCGAAAUUGUACACAAGAAACUAAAAUUAAAAUAAUACAAGACUAACAAAGGCCAGAGGCUCCUGACUUGGGACAGGCACAAAAAUGCGGCAGGGUUAAACAUCUUUGUGAGAUCUCAACCUCCUAAUACACAUAUAUGUAUAUACUAUUGAAAGUUGAUGAUGCUAGUACAAGACGUAAUAAUUGUAAUACAACUUUGACCAAUGCUGAACAAUGUAGAAAUUUACCCCAAAAUAACUACGAUAAAAGUACACUACUGUUAUACAGUAACAGUAAUUGUUCUUUUUAUGGUUAAAAUAUCUGAGUUUCACAUGGUUAAUCUAAAAUAACGUAUUAUUUUUGAUUAUGUUGUUUAUAAAGAGUGUAAACUAUACAAAGAUACAUCUAAAAUUAUUGAUCAUCAGAACAAAUAUGGUAAAAUAUUAACAAAUUGAAUUAAUGUUCUUGUUAGUACGUAUACUAAAGUAUGAGCGUAUAAGCAGAUGAGUAUAUCGACUUAUAUUUUGAAAUAGCAAUAAAUCAUAACGUUCGCUAAUUGUUUAUUAAUUUGUUACACUAAUAGACCAUUACAAUAAGUUUUACUGUAGGUAUUGCCGAGUGUUUGUUCUCAAUGUGGCUAGAGGUAUAGAGAGAUGGUUCUGAUUUUACAAAACGUGUUUUACCUGCCGCAUUUUUGCGCCCGGCUUCAGACAGUAAACUCAGCCCUUCGUUAGUAUUGUAUGAUUUUUAAUUCUAUUUCAUUUAUAUGUUUUGAAGUUUAUUAUAGCCUCCAUUACCACCAAGCUAUUACACAUUUGUUAAGGAGCAAGCUGAAGCACGCCUUCGGGUGCGGGCUUUUCCCGUUAAUUUUAAUACCCAUUGGUGGCUUUCGAUAGCUGUUUGCUCUUUAAUCGGGUUUUGUCUCUUAGACACCGUCCCAAUUUCCAUUCACAAUUUCAUUACUUAUUGAGAUGUAACUAUGUGUUUUUCUUGACUUUCAAAUAUAUGCUGGUAAUACUGUCUUAGGUUAGAAUCAAAUUAUGUAUGUCAUACAACGUCGCACUUUUGUGUGUAACUCGGGUUUUUUUUGUUAAUACAUGUAACUCAAGCCGUUAGUUUUUUUACUGUGGGUCUUUUAUUGCUACCAACUAGUCAGUCGUAUACGUGUCUUGCUUAUUGUUAAAUGUUGUAUUAUGACAUACAGUUGCUAACUUCAUGUCAUUUGGUAAAUAGAUGUCUCAUUUGCAAACAUAGUAUAUCUCAUCAUUUUACUAGAAUAUACUGAGGGCAAAUCGUAAUCAUGAGUCGAACAUUAAAAUUUAAUCCAGUUCCGAGAUUAAAAUGGAAGAAUGAAAUAUCUAUUUAACAGUUAAUAGAUAUAACACCAUUGUUCAUAUGAUAUCAAACAUUGUCAAAGAAACACAAGGACACCCUCGAACUCUGUUCUGUUCCUGUAUUUUGAAUGGUCCUGACAAGUAGAAGUCUUAAGGUAAAUGACAAUCGUCAUCAGACAGAUGACAAAUGACGAACAGAACAAAUCCGUUGCCAUCCAUGACACAAAUUCUUAGUUAAUAAAUCAUCCCGGAAUGAUUCCUGUCAAAUUGUAAAGUAAACACACUAUUAAUGUUACUAUACACACAUGGUUUCAAAAUUUUUCGCUUUGUUUAGUGGCUACCUAUAAUAGCAGCGAAUUUAAGUGACCAACACAAUGACCUUUUACAUAAAAAUAAAUUCGACGAGUAUCUCGACAAAGGAUCGUGGUGUUUUUAAUAUAGUUUGACGUUGUUUAAGAAUUGCUUUUUUGCUGGGUAUUUCAUAGAUAAUGAUAUCAAGUUAAAUGUUUGAGAUGAUAACUUGUAUUCAAAUAUAUUGGAUUUUAAGGAAGUUAUUUCUUAUUUCAUUCAGGAGCAUAUACAUAUUAAAUGUUUAUAGUUGUAAAAAUUAGUUAAUGGCGGGUUGUAAUAAACUGCGCACUGUAUGUUUUUUCUGUGAGAAUAUUGACGGUCUCAAUAUUGCAUUAUCUUUGUGAAGCUUGGUUAUAUUAGAAUAAGAUGAUUGAUAUAAUCUAUGGACUAAUUGUUGUUCACGUUUUUCUUUUAUCAAGCUAAAGUUUGUGUAGGAACUUUAUCAUUUUCAAUUGUUAUAUUCGAUCUCUAUUGUGGUUCGUUAUGUUUUAUGUAUUUUUAAAAGUAAAUCGAAAUAACCAAACCGGAGUCAUUAUGCUUAAUUCGGUGUUAUAUCCGUGCUGGUUAAUGUUAGAUAUCCAUGCUUAUUGCGUACGAACCUUACUUCUAUACUUUCAGAUGCGAGCUGUUCUUUACCGCAAGAUCUAAGGAACAAAGUGUGGGAAUAUAGUUACACUUCAGUAUCAGACAGUUCAAAGAAAGUAAUCAAUUUAGACAUCAAAACUACAACGCUUCAAAACUCUGCCAUUAAUUUAGAAUUCCAGGGAACGAUAAUAAACCAGUGGACUUGCAUCAAUAGUUUAGAUGUUUCUAAC
rnacentral:lncRNA from 1 species